AACGAACGCUGGCGGCAGGCUUAACACAUGCAAGUCGAACGAGAUCUUCGGAUCUAGUGGCAGACGGGUGAGGAACACGUGGGAACAUCCCUUCCAGCUCGGAAUAACGUUGGGAAACUAACGCUAAUACCGGAUACGUCCCUCGGGAGAAAGAUGUAUCGCUGAAAGAUUGGCCGGCGUCAGAUUAGCGAGUUGGUGAGGUAAAGGCUCACCAAGGCGACGAUCUGUAGCGGGUCUGAGAGGAUGAUCCGCCACACUGGAACUGAGACACGGUCCAGACUCCUACGGGAGGCAGCAGUGGGGAAUUUUGGACAAUGGGGGCAACCCUGAUCCAGCCAUGCCGCGUGAGUGAAGAAGGCCUUCGGGUUGUAAAGCUCUUUCGGUCGGGAAGAAAUCGCAUGGGUUAAUACCCUGUGCGGAUGACGGUACCGGCAUAAGAAGCACCGGCUAACUACGUGCCAGCAGCCGCCGUAA
rnacentral:rRNA from 1 species